rnacentral:rRNA from 1 species
AUUAGGGAAGAAGCCCAAGCGAAAGCAGGCGUGGACUUAAUACAAGAGAGAAUGCUGGCAUGAGUAGCGAGAAGGAGUGUGAGAAUCACUCCCGUCGAAACCCCAAGGACUCCUGAGCAAGGCUCGUCCCCUCAGGGAAAGUCGGGACCUAAGGCGAGGCCAAAAGGCGUAGCCGAUGGAUAACAGGUUUAUAUUCCUGUACCGCUUAAAGUCGCUAUAGAGAAGUGAUGACGCAAGAGGAUAAGCUAAGCUGCCCGAUGGAAGGCAGUCUAAGCACAAAGGCUGAUUAGUAGGCAAAUCCGCUAAUCCCAAGGUCAAUGUGUGAUAGGUAUCGAAAACAUGAGUAGAGAAGUAGCCGAUUUCAAAUUGCCAAGAAAAGUCACUAUCAAGACCAAAGCGCCCGUACCAAAACCGACACAGGUAGGGAGGUAGAGAAUACCAAGACGCGCGGAAGAACCUUUGUUAAGGAACUCGGCAAAAUGUCCCCGUAACUUCGGGAGAAGGGGAGCCAUAGCGAUAUGGCCACAGAAACCAGGCCCAAGCGACUGUUUACCAAAAACACAAGUUUCUGCAAAAUCGUAAGAUGAAGUAUAGGAGCUGACACCUGCCCGGUGCUGGAAGGUUAAGGGGAACUGUGAGUGUAUGCGUAGCGGUGAACUUAAGCCCCAGUAAACGGCGGUGGUAACUAUAACCAUCCUAAGGUAGCGAAAUUCCUUGUCGGGUAAGUUCCGACCUGCACGAAUGGAGUAACGAUUUCCCUACUGUCUCCACCAUGAACUCGGUGAAAUUGCAUUACGAGUAAAGAUGCUCGUUACGCGCAGCAGGACGGAAAGACCCCGGGACCUUUACUAUAGUUUGGUAUUGGUGUUUGGUUUGGCUUGUGUAGCAUAGGGGGGAGACUGUGAAGCAUGGACGCUAUUUUGUGUGGGGUCGU